CCUACGGGAGGCAGCAGUGAGGAAUAUUGGUCAAUGGACGAGAGUCUGAACCAGCCAAGUAGCGUGAAGGAUGACUGCCCUAUGGGUUGUAAACUUCUUUUAUAAAGGAAUAAAACGAGGCACGUGUGCCUGUUUGCAUGUACUUUAUGAAUAAGGAUCGGCUAACUCCGUGCCAGCAGCCGCGGUAAUACUGAGGAUCCGAGCGUUAUCCGGAUUUAUUGGGUUUAAAGGGAGCGUAGAUGGGUUGUUAAGUUAGUUGUGAAAGUUUGAGGCUCAACCGUAGAAUUGCAAUUGAUACUGGUCGGCUUGAGUGUAGUUGAGGUAGGCGGAAUGCGUGGUGUAGCGGUGAAAUGCUUAGAGAUCACGCAGAACCCCGAUUGCGAAGGCAGCUUACUAAGCUGUGACUGACAUUGAUGCUCGAAAGUGUGGGUAUCAAACAGGAUUAGAUACCCGAGUAGUC
rnacentral:rRNA from 1 species